CUGAGCUGAGGUACAGUGUAGACAAGUCUGAGGAGUCUGUGGAGUGUUCCUGAAGGAGGCCUGGUCCAGCAACCAGGCAUCUACUUCAAGUUAACCCCUGCACUGUCGGUGAAAGUCAAAGCCAAUGAGAUUGGUGCUCCUCACCAGUGGACCUCCACUGAUCAAACCUACUGACACAGAACAUACCCAUUUGAGCUCGGUCUUGUCACUAUUUUAAUGGGUGGGGAGAUUCUGCAUAUGGAUGAGGUGUCCACAGCUUCUGCCUUAU